rnacentral:rRNA from 1 species
UACGAAGGGGGCUAGCGUUGCUCGGAAUGACUGGGCGUAAAGGGCGCGUAGGCGGCUUGUAGAGUCGGGUGUGAAAUUCCUGGGCUUAACCUGGGGGCUGCAUUCGAUACGUAUGGGCUUGAGUGCGGAAGAGGGUCGUGGAAUUCCCAGUGUAGAGGUGAAAUUCGUAGAUAUUGGGAAGAACACCGGUGGCGAAGGCGGCGACCUGGUCCGUGACUGACGCUGAGGUGCGAAAGCGUGGGAGCAAACAGG